CCUACGGGUGGCUGCAGUAGGGAAUCUUCCACAAUGGGCGCAAGCCUGAUGGAGCAACACCGCGUGAGUGAAGAAGGGUUUCGGCUCGUAAAGCUCUGUUGUUGGAGAAGAACGUGCGUGAGAGUGACUGUUCACGCAUUGACGGUAUCCAACCAGAAAGGCACGGCUAACUUCGUGCCAGCAGCCGCGGUAAUACGUAGGUGGCCAGCGUUUUCCGGAUUUAUUGGGGGUAAAGGGGGCGCAGGGGGGUGGUUAGGUCUGAGGGGAAAGCCUUCGGCUUAACCGAAGAAGUGCAUCGGAAACGGGGCGACUUGAGUGCAGGAGAGGAGAGUGGAAGUCCAUGUGUAGCGGUGGAAUGCGUAGAUAUAUGGAAGAACACCGGUGGCGAAGGCGGCUGUCUGGUCUGCAACUGACGCUGAGGCUCGAAAGCGUGGGGAGCGAACAGGAUUAGAUACCCGAGUAGUC
rnacentral:rRNA from 1 species